AAAUGCUCACCCUCUUUAAAACCAGGUAGCCGUUUCGAAAGCGACCAGGCAAAACUACCCGAGAGUCAAGUCAAGCCUUUCAAGAGCGGAUAUAUUGUCUGUGCACCGAAGUACGGAGAAUACCAAAUCACGUACGUUAAUUAAUCAAUUAAUCUUCCCUCACAGACACAUAAUACAUGGGGAUAUGCACACAGAUCCUCAUUACCAGUGCACAGAAGGGAAUCUCUACAUGAUCUUUGAGUAGCAGAUCCUGCUAAAUGCAAAAACAGAAACGGGAGAGAUUAGCUCACAGGCACUGGGCAUGGGUCUUUUUUUUUUGGAGAGAGCGAGGACGAACAGUCUGGCUUACACUCUAAUGAAAAAUCAACGCCAGAGAACAACGGACCAGCAGAGGGACUUGUUUACUCUGCAGAUAUAAAGAAACACUGUAAGCCUCUAAGCUCUCCAUGCUGGGCUUUGUGGAGCCAAUACAGGGACGAGCGGCAAAAGAAUAUGCUACACGUAGUCGACCCGAAGCAUUAAGAGGGAGAAGCCCCCCCGGCCAGCCUGGACCGAGGGUUCGAAGCUCAUAUGUUUACACUGACGUCCCUUCUACACACCAUUUGUUUUAAAGACCGACUGAUGCUCAGCCAUGCCCGGCCUGGAACCCAGAAGCCCUGGGGGUUGCCACUGGUGAUCCGGUAGGACAGCUUGUCACUGGCCUUGGCGUCAGGGUCGACGGCCUCUAUCUGGAUGAUGGACACGUCCUUGGGGGAGUUCUCCAUCACCGAGGGGUAGUAGACCGGCUCCG